rnacentral:rRNA from 1 species
UACAGAGGCCUCAAGCGUUAGGCGGAAUCACUGGGCUUAAAGCGUGUGUAGGCGGGUCGUUAAGUACCUUGUGAAAUCCCACGGCUUAACUGUGGAACGGCUUGGUAUACUGGCGAUCUUGAGCCACUUAGGGGCUACCGGAACAGAUGGUGGAGCGGUGAAAUGCGUAGAUAUCGAGAGGAACACCUGCGGCGAAGGCGGGUUGCUGGGCUGACACUGACGCUGAAGCGCGAAAGCUAGGGGAGCGAACGGG